rnacentral:rRNA from 1 species
AUUGAACGCUGGCGGCAGGCCUAACACAUGCAAGUCGAGCGGAUGAAGGGAGCUUGCUCCUGGAUUCAGCGGCGGACGGGUGAGUAAUGCCUAGGAAUCUGCCUGGUAGUGGGGGAUAACGUCCGGAAACGGGCGCUAAUACCGCAUACGUCCUGAGGGAGAAAGUUGGGGAUCUUCGGACCUCACGCUAUCAGAUGAGCCUAGGUCGGAUUAACUAGUUGGUGGGGUAAAGGCCUACCAAGGCGACGAUCCGUAACUGGUCUGAGAGGAUGAUCAGUCACAAUGGAACUGAGACACGGUCCAGACUCCUACGGGAGGCAGCAGUGGGGAAUAUUGGACAAUGGGCGAAAGCCUGAUCCAGCCAUGCCGCGUGUGUGAAGAAGGUCUUCGGAUUGUAAAGCACUUUAAGUUGGGAGGAAGGGCAGUAAGUUAAUACCUUGCUGUUUUGACGUUACCAACAGAAUAAGCACCGGCUAACUUCGUG